GUGCCAGCAGCCGCGGUAAUACAGAGGUGGCAAGCGUUGUUCGGAAUUACUGGGCGUAAAGGGCGCGUAGGCGGUCUCUUAAGUUCCGUGUGAAAUCCCUCGGCUCAACUGGGGAACUGCACGGAAAACUGGGAGGCUUGAGUUCGGGAGAGGGAAGCGGAAUUCCGGGUGUAGCGGUGAAAUGCGUAGAUAUCCGGAGGAACACCGGUGGCGAAGGCGGCUUCCUGGACCGACACUGACGCUGAGGCGCGAAAGCUAGGGGAGCAAACGGGAUUAGAAACCCCAGUAGUCC
rnacentral:rRNA from 1 species